rnacentral:misc_RNA from 1 species
CAACCCUCAAGCCUGGCUUGGUAUUGGGCGCCCGUCCCCCGGGACGCGCCUGGAAAGCAGCGGCGGUGCGGCCGGUGAUCGAGCGUAGUAACGACUCCCGCUUCGAGCCACCCGGGCGUUCCGGCCGGACAACAUCUAUUUUUCAAU